CUUUGAGUUGGUUUAUACCGAAAAUGAUGAGACUUUCGACACAUUUGAUGACCUUAGCAAGGAUGAAGAUACUGACAGUGAUACACAAAGCUCUGACAUAGAUGCAGAUAAAUAAACAGACAAUUCAGUAACAUAGGAGCUAUAGAUAUUUCAGAAGUUCUUAUUCCAGACUAUGUCAAUUCACCGCCUCCCCCUGUUAAAGAUA